rnacentral:lncRNA from 1 species
UGCUGCUGCGGCAGCCGAUGGUGGUGGAGGAGGGGCGAGCGCUUCACACUGCGCGACGGUUCCCGCACCAUCGGCACCGGCGUCGUCACGGCCACUCUGACCCCCAGCGCCGACGAGGAGGAGGCCGCCUGGGGCUGACAGCCUAUCGCGAUAGUGGCCCCCCCCCCCCCCCGCCCCCCCCCCCUUAUAUCGCGACAGUGACGGCGCCUGGGAAGCGCCCUGGCGAUGCUGGAUGGGGUUCUGGUCUGAUAUGGGGGGCUGCUGUCGCGGUGGGGUGGGUGGGGAGGUGAUGUUGGGGGGGUGAAUGUCGCGAUAUGGGCGCCCCACGUCGCGAUAGUGUCGGUGGUAUUGCGAUAUGGGCCCCAAAUGUCGUGAUAUGGGACCCGUAUGUUGUGAUAUGGGCACUGAUAUCGCGAUAUGGGCACCAAAUGUUGCGAUAUGGGCACUGAUAUCGUGAUAUGGGCCCCAAAUGUUGUGAUAUGGGCACUGAUAUCGUGAUAUGGGCCCCAAAUGUCGCGAUAUGGGCCUCAAAUGUCGCGAUAUGGGCACUGAUAUCGCAAUAUGGGCACUGAUAGCGUGAUAUGGGCAUCAAAUGUUGUGAUAUGGGCACUGAUAUCGCGAUAUGGGCACCGAUAUCGUGAUAUGGGCACUGAGUGUCGCGAUAUGGGCCUCAAAUGUUGUGGUAAUGUCAUUGAUAUCGUGAUAUGGGCACCGAAUGUCGCGAUAUAGGCACCGAAUGUCACAAUAUGGGCCCUGAUAUCGCGAUAUGGGCACCAAGUAUCGCGAUAUGGGUGCUGAAUGUUGUGGUAGUGUCAUUGAUAUCGUGAUACGGGCCCCAAAUGUCGUGAUAUGGACACCGAUAUUGCGAUAUGGGCACCGGAUGUCGCGAUAGUGCCAUUGAUAUCGUGAUAUGGGCCCCAGACGUCGCGAUACGGGCGCUGAUAUCGUGAUACGGGCGUCAAAUGUUGCGAUAGUGCCAUUGAUAUCGUGAUAUGGGCCCCAGAUGUCGCGAUAUGGGCGGCAGAUACGGCGAUACCGACGCUGAACAGCGACGAUAUCGCGAUAGUGGCGGCCCAUAUCGCGACACUGACACCAAAAUGGCGACCAAUGGGGUUGGGGGGGGGGGGGGGGGAGGGGGAGGAACGGCGACGCUAUCACAAUAAAGGCACUGGAACUGUGGAAGUAUGUCGCGAUAUGUCGCGAUAUGUCGCGAUAUGGGCACCCAAACAGCACCCGCUGUCACGGUAUGGACACCAACUAUCGCGAUAUGAAGACCCAAAGCGCCAACUAUCGCGAUAUCGGCACCAACUAUCGCGAUAUCGACGCCAACUCUCGCGAUACGAACCUCCAAACCACCCACUAUCGUGACAGUGACUCCCAACUAUCGCGAUAUCAACACCAACUCUCGCGAUAUCACCGCCAACUCUCGCGAUACCCGCAAAAACCCCAUCAGCGACCCCAAAAAGUGCCGUUUCCCCCCCAAAAUGACUUCGAAAAGUUGCGAUUUUUUUUUAUUUCCAUUCGCA